rnacentral:rRNA from 1 species
AACGAACGCUGGCGGCGUGCUUAACACAUGCAAGUCGAACGGUAAGGCCCUUCGGGGUACACGAGUGGCAAACGGGUGAGUAACACGUGGGUGAUCUGCCCUGCACUUCGGGAUAAGCCUGGGAAACUGGGUCUAAUACCGGAUAGGACUCCUGGCUUCAUGGUUGGGGGUGGAAAGCUUUUGCGGUGUGGGAUGGGCCCGCGGCCUAUCAGCUUGUUGGUGGGGUAAUGGCCUACCAAGGCGACGACGGGUAGCCGGCCUGAGAGGGUGACCGGUCACACUGGGACUGAGAUACGGCCCAGACUCCUACGGGAGGCAGCAGUGGGGAAUAUUGCACAAUGGGCGCAAGCCUGAUGCAGCGACGCCGCGUGAGGGAUGACGGCCUUCGGGUUGUAAACCUCUUUCAGCACCGACGAAGCGCAAGUGACGGUAGGUGCAGAAGAAGGACCGGCCAACUACGUGCCAGCAGCCGCGGUAA